rnacentral:rRNA from 1 species
UCAAUCUCGUGCGGCUAGGAGCCGCCUGUCCCUCUAAGAAGAUUCAUGUGUACGCCGGCAGUAAAAAACGCGACACCCGCCCGCGCCGGCGAACGGGAGACGCGAGCCUUCGGGAUGCCGGAAAGUAACGCCUAGUUAGCAGGCUAGAGUCUCGUUCGUUAU